CCUACGGGGGACAGCAGUGAGGAAUAUUGGUCAAUGGACGCAAGUCUGAACCAGCCAUGCCGCGUGCAGGAAGACGGCUCUAUGAGUUGUAAACUGCUUUUGUACGAGGGUAAACGCAGAUACGCGUAUCUGUCUGAAAGUAUCGUACGAAUAAGGAUCGGCUAACUCCGUGCCAGCAGCCGCGGUAAUACGGAGGAUUCAAGCGUUAUCCGGAUUUAUUGGGUUUAAAGGGUGCGUAGGCGGUCGGAUAAGUUAGAGGUGAAAUGCCGAGGCGCAACUUCGGAAUUGCCUCUGAUACUGGUCGGCUAGAGAGUAGUAGCGGUAGGCGGAAUGCAUGGUGUAGCGGUGAAAUGCUUAGAGAUCAUACAGAACACCGAUUGCGAAGGCAGCUUACUAAGCUACUUCUGACGUUGAGGCACGAAAGCGUGGGGAGCAAACAGGAUUAGAUACCCGAGUAGUC
rnacentral:rRNA from 1 species